rnacentral:rRNA from 1 species
UACGGAGGGAGCUAGCGUUAUUCGGAAUUACUGGGCGUAAAGCGCACGUAGGCGGCUUUGUAAGUAAGAGGUGAAAGCCCAGAGCUCAACUCUGGAAUUGCCUUUUAGACUGCAUCGCUUGAAUCAUGGAGAGGUCAGUGGAAUUCCGAGUGUAGAGGUGAAAUUCGUAGAUAUUCGGAAGAACACCAGUGGCGAAGGCGGCUGACUGGACAUGUAUUGACGCUGAGGGGCGAAAGCGUGGGGAGCAAACAGG